rnacentral:rRNA from 1 species
GAUGAACGCUGGGGGCGUGCCUAAUACAUGCAAGUCGAGCGAACAGACGAGGAGCUUGCUCCUCUGACGUUAGCGGCGGACGGGUGAGUAACACGUGGAUAACCUACCUAUAAGACUGGGAUAACUUCGGGAAACCGGAGCUAAUACCGGAUAAUAUAUUGAACCGCAUGGUUCAAUAGUGAAAGACGGUUUUGCUGUCACUUAUAGAUGGAUCCGCGCCGCAUUAGCUAGUUGGUAAGGUAACGGCUUACCAAGGCAACGAUGCGUAGCCGACCUGAGAGGGUGAUCGGCCACACUGGAACUGAGACACGGUCCAGACUCCUACGGGAGGCAGCAGUAGGGAAUCUUCCGCAAUGGGCGAAAGCCUGACGGAGCAACGCCGCGUGAAUGAUGAAGGUCUUCGGAUCGUAAAACUCUGUUAUUAGGGAAGAACAAAUGUGUAAGUAACUAUGCACGUCUUGACGGUACCUAAUCAGAAAGCCACGGCUAACUACGUG